rnacentral:rRNA from 1 species
UACGAAGGGUGCAAGCGUUAAUCGGAAUUACUGGGCGUAAAGGGCGCGUAGGCGGCCUGUUAAGUCGAACGUGAAAUCCCCGGGCUCAACCCGGGAACUGCGUCCGAUACUGGCAGGCUUGAAUUCGGGAGAGGGAUGUGGAAUUCCAGGUGUAGCGGUGAAAUGCGUAGAUAUCAAGCGGAACACCGGUGGCGAAGGCGGGUCUCUGGGCAGUAACUGACGCUGAGGAGCGAAAGCGUGGGGAGCGAACAGG